GAUGGCCUCAGACUACUUAAUUUUUAUCUCUACAUCUUAGUGAUGCCAAUACUGGGAGAUAAGGAAUGCUUGAAGCCCAAGUCUUUGCUAUGUCCUCCAUGCCAUGACUCAGGUAGGGUAUCCAUCUACCUGCUGCAGCUGCUGUGACAUGACGGUGCCAUUAGAAAGUCAUUCUGUGGUGGCACUUCCCAGGAGUAUCUACAGUAUGUGGGACCUCUGAGCCUUCCAAGGCAUCAGAGGAGCACCCUUGAUAAUUCCUGAUUUAAAUGCUAAUGUGAGUCCUGAAAGGAAGGCUGCCUGCUGACAAAGGAACCUAACAAGGAACCUAACAUGGACUCCAGAGUAUCACAGAUCCCAGGAGCAACCCACCUGCUGCUCACGGUGAGAUGGAGGGACUGGGCUUGUCUGAACCUCUUUGUUUUGGAGGAGCACAUUAAAUAGCAACAGUUAAGCAGUCUU